rnacentral:tRNA from 1 species
GGUCUCAUGGCGGAAUGGUUACGCAGAGGACUGCAAAUCCUUGUAUCCCAGUUCGAUUCUGGGUGAGACCUCCA